CCUACGGGGGGCUGCAGUGGGGAAUUUUGGACAAUGGGCGCAAGCCUGAUCCAGCCAUGCCGCGUGAGUGAAGAAGGCCUUCGGGUUGUAAAGCUCUUUCGGACGGGAAGAAAUCGCAUGGGUUAAUACCCUGUGCGGAUGACGGUACCGUAAUAAGAAGCACCGGCUAACUACGUGCCAGCAGCCGCGGUAAUACGUAGGGUGCGAGCGUUAAUCGGAAUUACUGGGCGUAAAGCGUGCGCAGGCGGUUUUGUAAGACAGGCGUGAAAUCCCCGGGCUCAACCUGGGAACUGCGCUUGUGACUGCAAGGCUAGAGUAUGGCAGAGGGGGGUGGAAUUCCACGUGUAGCAGUGAAAUGCGUAGAGAUGUGGAGGAACACCGAUGGCGAAGGCAGCCCCCUGGGCCAAUACUGACGCUCAUGCACGAAAGCGUGGGUAGCAAACAGGAUUAGAUACCCUAGUAGUCC
rnacentral:rRNA from 1 species